AGCAGCCGCGGUAAUUCCAGCUCCAAUAGCGUAUAUUAAAGUUGUUGCAGUUAAAAAGCUCGUAGUUGAAUUUCGAGAUCAAAUUGUUGGUCGUGCCUUGGUACGCACUGGCAUUAUUGGUUUCUCCCUUCUGACGAACCAUGAUGUCAUUAAUUUGGUGUCUUGGGGAAUCAGGACUGUUACUUUGAAAAAAAUUAGAGUGUUUAAAGCAGGCUCACGCUUGAAUACAUUAGCAUGGAAUAAUGAAAUAGGACGUUUGAUUCUAUUUUGUUGGUUUCUAGGAUCGACGUAAUGAUUAAUAGGGAUAGUUGGGGGCAUUAGUAUUCAAUUGUCAGAGGUGAAAUCCUUGGAUUUAUUGAAGACUAACUACUGCGAAAGCAUUUGCCAAGGAUGUUUUCAUUAAUCAAGAACGAAAGUUAGGGGAUCGAAGACGAUCAGAUACCGUCGUAG
rnacentral:rRNA from 1 species